rnacentral:rRNA from 1 species
GGAAGAGAUAAGUGCUGAAAGCAUCUAAGCACGAAACUUGCCCCGAGAUGCGUUCUCCCUGAGACUUAGAGUCUCCUGAAGGAACGUUGAAGACGACGACGUUGAUAGGCCGGGUGUGUAAGCGCAGCGAUGCGUUGAGCUAACCGGUACUAAUGAACCGUGAGGCUUAACCUUACAACGCCGAAGCUGUU